UAUCCAGUCAGAGAUGGAGACUAUUAUCCAAUAAGAGUUGUCAAAAAAGUUCCUUCUCAUCCAAUCAGAACCAAGCUUCCAAGAUACCGCGGUUGCGUACAGCCGUUAUAAAAGGGAGGCGAAGGCCCACUCCGCCAUUUUCUUUUCGUGGAGGCUGGUCUCUAGUCGUCUGGGCUGCGGUCUUCAUGGACCGGAAGCGUGUGCGGAGCGCCUGCCUCGAGGCCAGCAUCAGGGAAGGGUGUUCCAGGUGAAGGCGAAGCUUCCUUCACGUGUUCUUGGAGGACUUUCCGCUUGCAAGCGCUUCUCCAUUCUCCUAAGAUCUGGGGCCUGUGUGGAAGGAAGAAACCUUCUGAUGGCUUUGGCCCGGGAAUAUGGCGGUUCCAAGCACAAUGCUAUACUGAAAUGGUACCAGAAGACAGAAGGUUAUAUGCUGGAAAGUGGCUACCCUUGAAGUCAUGGACACUUUGGCACCUGUGUUUGUCGCACUCCCCAUGUAUUGCCAGGGGAUUUAACGUGGCAACCCUGCCUUCCCAGAGCAUUGAACAUCUUCUCUGUAGCACAGGCUCAGACAACCGCCUCUAACUGUAGAUCCUGAAACUCAAUGUGGUGAACCCUUACAUAAGUUAAAGUGGUUGGUUUCAAUCAUUAACAAGCAUUGUAAAUGGUUAUAAAUAGCCAGAAAUAUUGAAAUUGUUUUAUAAACUAAAUGUAAAAUUGCUCAAUCCCAUUGGUCACCAAAGAUAUGCAAAUGAAAGAAUGAAAUGCUAUUUCUUUUCUUUCUUUCUUUCUUUCUUUCUUUGACAGUCUUGCUCUAUUGCCCAGGCGGGAGUGCAGUGGUGUGAUCUUGGCUCACUGCAACAUCCACCUCCCAGGUUCAAGCGAUUCUCCAGCAUCAGCCUCCUGAGUAGCUGGAAUCAUGGGCAUGUGCCACCACACCUGGCUAAUUUUGUAUUUUUAGUAGAGACAGGGCUUCUCCGUGUUGGUCAGGCUGGUCUUGAACUCCCGACCUCUGGUGAUCCGCCCACCUCGGCCUCCCAAAGUGCUGGGAUUACAGGUGUGAGCCACUGUGCCUGGCGUGAAAUGUUGUUUCUUUGCUUACAAUAUUGGAAGAGUUUUUAAAAUGAAAAGGUGGUCCAAGUGAGAAUCCUACUACACCAUUGUUGGGAGUGCAGAUGAAUACUGCCUUUGGGGAGGACAGUUGAGCAGUGUGUAUCAGGAAUCUUAAAAAUGAGUAUGUUCUUUAACACAGAAAUUGUAUUUCUAGAUAUUUAUGUUAACAAUAUAGUCAUGGAUGCCUGUAAAGAUGUAAUUGCAAGUAAGUUCAUAAUAGUUUUAUUUAUAAUUACUUCAAAAGAACUGGAAAUGGUAUACAUUUUUAAGAAUAGGGGAAUCAACUAAAUAAAUUAUGGUAUAUGUGUAUGGUGGAAUAUUAUAAAGCCCUUAAAAAUCAUGGUUUGGGAAAAUCUAUUUAAAGGCACAGGAAAAAAUGUGCACAGUACGUUAAGUCAAAAAGCAGAUUCUAAGUCUUGG
rnacentral:lncRNA from 1 species